rnacentral:rRNA from 1 species
UACGGGGGGGGCAAGCGUUGUUCGGAAUUACUGGGCGUAAAGGGUUUGUAGGUGGCCAACUAAGUCAGACGUGAAAUCCCUCAGCUUAACUGGGGAACUGCGUCUGAUACUGGAUGGCUUGGAUCCGGGAGAGGGAUGCGGAAUUCCAGGUGUAGCGGUGAAAUGCGUAGAUAUCUGGAGGAACACCGGUGGCGAAGGCGGCAUCCUGGACCGGUAUUGACGCUGAGGAGCGAAAGCCAGGGGAGCAAACGGG